UGAGUAACCUGCCCUUCACUCUGGGAUAACUCCGGGAAACCAGGGCUAAUACUGGAUACGACUCGAACAGGCAUCUGUAUCGGGUGGAAAGAUUUUAUUGGGUGGAGGAUGGACUCGCGGCCUAUCAGCUUGUUGGUGAGGUAAUGGCUCACCAAGGCAACGNUGCGUAGCCGACUGAGAGGGUNAUCGGCCACAGUUGGAACUGAGACACGGUCCAGACCUCCGUAGGG
rnacentral:rRNA from 1 species